rnacentral:lncRNA from 1 species
UCCGAUGGACUCACUUGGUUUCAUUCGGAAGAGUUCGUAAGAGUGCACAAGGAUGUUGAUUUUGGACUCUUUCACUCAGCUAGUGCCUUCAUGAGUGACCUCAAGAGUUCUCCAAAUAUCAAAAGCCGAAUCACACAUUGAAACACGAUUAAAUUCGUUUUUGUCUAAUGCACAAAACAAGGCAUUCAUAGCCUUUGCAUUUAAAGCAAAAACCUUCUUCUCCGAUUCAUUCCAUUCGCUCAUCGGAAGAGAAGAUUUUUGAAAUCCAUUCUCAACAAUAGACCAAAGCUCAAAGUCCAUAGAAAUGAGGAAGAUCCUCAUGCGAGUCUUCCAAUAUGUGUAAUCCGACCCAUUAAACAAAGGUGGUCGUGCAAUAGAAUGGCCCUCUUGCAUGCCGGAGUAAGCCAUCUCUCUUGGGUAUUAAACCAAAUAUGAGAUAUAACCUUGCUCUGAUACCACUUGUUAGGAUCGGAGCGGCACUAAGAGGGGGGGUGAAUUAGUGCAGCGGAUUAAAACUUCGAUUUUAAUCAAAA